UACGAAGGAUCCAAGCGUUAUCCGGAUUUAUUGGGUUUAAAGGGUGCGUAGGCGGGCUAUUAAGUCAGUGGUGAAAGCCCCAAGCUUAACCUGGGAACUGCCAUUGAUACUGAUGGUCUUGAGUACACUUGAGGUGGGCGGAAUGUGUCAUGUAGCGGUGAAAUGCUUAGAGAUGCGGAGGAACACCGAUGGCGAAGGCAGCCCCCUGGGUCGACACUGACGCUCAGGCACGAAAGCGUGGGGAGCAAACAGG
rnacentral:rRNA from 1 species